GGUAUCAUGGUUGGAUCUGUAAACACACUCUCACGAUCGUUUCAGUGGGUAAUGCAACACUGGUGUAUGUUAACACCACUAUCACCGACUCAGCAGUCCUCGAAUGUAGUAUACAAAAUAAAAAUAUCACGGACUGGAGUAAUGUUCGUUUUUAUUGGCAAGAUAACAGGGAUUUUGUGUUGUAUUCCUAUAAUGAAGGAAGAAAGAUGGCUGAGCAUGUAAAUGACUACUAUAAACACAGAGUCACAGCCUUCCCUCAGGACAUAAUUAGAGGAAAUAUCAGCAUCAUAAUCAAAAACCUGACUCUUGAAGAUAACGAAAGGACUUUCUGGGCUUUUGCGGCAGUCUUGGACGGCAGCGUGAUGAAGAAAUACCACCUGGAACACACACAGAUCUGCCAAGUAACUUUACAGAUCGGUGGUAAGAAAGGUUUUCAGUCUUUUUCACAAAAAUAAGAAAGAGAAGUUAUAUUGUCAUAUAAAUAAGCACCUACAGUCAGUGGAGAUGACAUUGAUUUUAUGCUAUUGUGGUUAAUGUAGAAUGUGUAGUUUCCUCCUUUCAGGCACUGCCAACAGUGACAAUGCUAAUAUUUGCAUUUAGUGAUUGUAAUGAUUAUUUAUCGGUAAUCAAGUGACAGCUAGGUUCAAAUCAUUUUGGACAAAGACACAGUUUGUGUAUUUUUGCUCUGUGCACAACCACAGUGGGUUUUAAAUCAAACAGUCAAGAUGUGCUUGAAGUGCACAAGCUAUUCAGGAAUUAUACAUAUUCACCUCAUCCAGUCGAAGGACUGAUGAGGUUAUGCCAUUCUGAAGAAUCUGGCAUGAAGAAUCGCUACUCCUGUUAGAGUAAUAUUCACUUUCUUUAGUCAAAAAAUUUUAGAAAGAUGGAAAUGGUCUUCUGUCCCCUUUUCUCCUCAGUUCCUUAUCAGAAUCCCAGGCUAGAUGUUAAUAUGAAAACAAUGACUGCAGUGUGCACUACCCAAGGAGGAUUUCCUGCCCCUGAGAUACAAUGGGUCCUCCUCUAUACCAGCUCUCAUCAAUCAGUAGAGUCGAGGAACAUCCAAACUACAACGAUGCAGAAUUAUCACGACCGCCUUUACAGCUCCCGCAGCACUCUACUAAUCCCUGCAGGUCCUCACGAGGCCGUGAGCUGUCUCAUCCACAACCCGACUUUGAACACGACAAAGAGGGCCACCGACACUUUCAGCAAAGGUGCUGGAGUGACGAGCUCCCCUGAAUGUCUGAUAUCUGCUGCUGUGUUUCUUCUAACAGCUCUACACUGGCUGUGAUUCACAGCAAAGGUUUUUUCUCUUUAGGAUCUAUCAUGUUAAACAGCCACCUGACAUAGACUGAUCCACCCAUCCAUGUUCUGCUGUUGGUACCAGGGUCUGGUUUUGGUAAUGGACUACUCCAGAGGAGUGAUUUUACCUCAUGCUGAAAAUACUUCGUGCCAUGGAGACACUUCUACUAUCCAUAAUUCAAACUUACUAGUUUAAUUCUUUUGCAUGUUUCACCCUACCUUUGCAUCAUUAUAAUCUCCUCCUGGCUGUCUCUUCAGCAGUAAGUAGAGAAAAAGAAGGGCAAUCACAGGGCAAACCACUGUGGCAAUUUUUAAAUGUUAAUACUCUUUGUAAUUUAUUUUUCUUGACUUACUUGUUUUGUACUUCAUUUGGUAGUGAAAGGUGUUCAGAGUUGGUUGGUUGGUGCUAGUGUGGGUUUCAUAGAGUCCUCCUGUGUGCCAACAAUCUUUUUUUAUACUUUAGUCUUAUUAUUUAUUCUUUUAGUCUAUUGAAAGACAGUUAAAAGGAAAUUAUAUUUCUAGUAAAAUCAGGAAAGUGCUUUCCAGAAAGUUUGUUUUAAAACUCAGAAGAAGUUCCAGACAGUGUUAAAGUGGGAUUGCCAGGUGGGAAAUGACUCAUUCAACAUUUAGUCAAAAAAUUAUGUGUACUGUGAAUUACAGUUGUCUUUCUGGACAGGCUGAGAACUGUGCUCUAGCUACAUUUAGCUAAGAAGAUGUUACGAGGGCUAUUGGGGCCGCUUUCCAACCCCCAGCCUGCAUGACACCAGUAAAGAAAUACAGAAUAACAGUAAUAUCGAAUACAUUAGCUUACCUUUAAACUGACGACUGAAACCUUUGAAACCAACUGUGAGCAUCUGCUUCGUAUCAGUCCAACAUCCAUCACUGUGAACUUUGAUUUGCUGAAAGACACUUGACAACAAAUUAAACAAACAAAUCAAUAAACAUAAACAUAGAUUAUGAACCUCAAAUGUUCUGGAAAUAAACAUUUAUAAAACACAUCUACAGUCAU
ensembl:lncRNA